GACGAACGCUGGCGGCGCGCCUAACACAUGCAAGUCGAACGGAGUCAAGAGGAGCUUGCUUUUCUUGACUUAGUGGCGAACGGGUGAGUAACGCGUGAGUAACCUGCCCUGGAGUGGGGGACAACAGUUGGAAACGACUGCUAAUACCGCAUAAGCCCACGGCCUGGCAUCGGGCUGAGGGAAAAGGAUUUAUUCGCUUCAGGAUGGACUCGCGUCCAAUUAGCUAGUUGGUGAGGUAACGGCCCACCAAGGCGACGAUUGGUAGCCGGACUGAGAGGUGGAACGGCCACAUUGGGACUGAGACACGGCCCAGACUCCGACGUGAGGCAGCAGUGGGGGAUAUUGCACAAUGGGGGAAACCCUGAUGCAGCGACGCCGCGUGGAGGAAGAAGGUUUUCGGAUUGUAAACUCCUGUCGUUAGGGACGAUAAUGACGGUACCUAACAAGAAAGCACCGGCUAACUACGUGCCAGCCGCCGCCGUAA
rnacentral:rRNA from 1 species